rnacentral:rRNA from 1 species
AUUGAACGCUGGCGGCAGGCCUAACACAUGCAAGUCGAACGGGUGGCGGACGGGCGAGUAAUGUCUGGGAAACUGCCUGAUGGAGGGGGAUAACGACUGGAAACGGUAGCUACUACCGCAUACGAUCAGAUGUGCCCAGAUGGGAUUAGCUAGUCGGUGGGGUAACGGCUCACAGAGGCGACGAUCCCUAGCUGGGCUGAGAGGAUGACCAGCCACACUGGAACUGGGACACGGUCCAGACUCCUACGGGAGGCAGCAGUGGGGAAUAUUGGACAAUGGGCGCAAGCCUGAUCCAGCCAGGCCGCGUGUAGGAAGAAGGCCUUCGGGUUGUAAAGUACUUUUAGCGGGGAGGCGUUACCCGCAGAAGAAGCAACGGCUAACUCCGUGCCAGCAGCCGCGGUAAUAC